GAUGAACGCUGGCGGCGUGCCCAAUACAUGCAAGUCGAGCGAAUGGAUUGAGAGCUUGCUCUUAUGAAGUUAGCGGCGGACGGGUGAGUAACACGUGAGUAACCUGCCCAUAAGACUGGGAUAACUCCGGGAAACCGGGGCUAAUACCGGAUAACAUUUUGAACCGCAUGGUUCGAAAUUGAAAGGCGGCUUCGGCUGCCACUUAUGGAUGGACCCGCGUCGAAUUAGCUAGUUGGUGAGGUAACGGCUGACCACGGCAACGAUGCGUAGCCGACCUGAGAGGGUGAGCGGCCACACUGGGACUGAGACACGGCCCAGACUCCUACGGGAGGCAGCAGUAGGGAAUCUUCCGCAAUGGACGAAAGUCUGACGGAGCAACGCCGCGUGAGUGAUGAAGGCUUUCGGGUCGUAAAACUCUGUUGUUAGGGAAGAACAAGUGCUAGUUGAAUAAGCUGGCACCUUGACGGUACCUAACCAGAAAGCCACGGCUAACUACGUGCCAGCAGCCGCCGCCG
rnacentral:rRNA from 1 species